GGUGCUGUGGCUUACCAGGUAAAGCCUCCACCUGCAGUGUGGGAAUCCAUAUGGCUGCCGCCGUGGAGCUGGAUUGGGAUUCGAAUCCCAUUGCUCCA
rnacentral:tRNA from 1 species